CGUAGGGUGCGAGCGUUAAUCGGAAUUACUGGGCGUAAAGCGUGCGCAGGCGGUUUUGUAAGACAGAGGUGAAAUCCCCGGGCUCAACCUGGGAACUGCCUUUGUGACUGCAAGGCUAGAGUACGGCAGAGGGGGAUGGAAUUCCGCGUGUAGCAGUGAAAUGCGUAGAUAUGCGGAGGAACACCGAUGGCGAAGGCAAUCCCCUGGGCCUGUACUGACGCUCAUGCACGAAAGCGUGGGAGCAAACAGGAUU
rnacentral:rRNA from 1 species